rnacentral:lncRNA from 1 species
AAAGAACAAAAAACUAGGGGGACUGACAGUGUUGGAGAGAUUGUGAAUGAACCAGAACUCUCAUCUACUUCUUAUAGCGAUGUGAAAUGAUGCCAUCUAGAAGACAGCCUGGAGGUUAUUUAAAUGUUAAGCUACAUCUACCAUAUCUUCUAGCCAUUCUACUCCUAGGAAUUUACCCAAGAGAAAUGAAAGCAUAUAUUUAUACAAUGACUUAUAGACCAAAGUUCUAAGCAUCUUUAUUUAUAAUUGCUUCAAACUGAAAAUAACCCAAGUGUACAGAAACGAAAAAACUAAUUAUAGUAUCUCUAAACAAUGGAGUAUUAUGAUCAAGUAAGAAGAAAUAACUAUUGAUAGUAUAUGCAACAACAUGGAAGAAUCUCAGAACAGUUCUCCUGAGUGAAGAACACAUCCUGGGUGAUCCCAUUUAUAUAAAACUUUAAAAAGUGCAAAUUAAUCUCAAGUACCAAAAGCAAAUGAAUAGUUUUCUGGACAUAGCAGGUAGAGAAAGGAUUGGUAGUAAGGAUAAAGUAAGGGAGCAAAUAAAAAGGGGUGACAGAGCCUGGGGAUAUAACUCAGUGGUGGAAUGGUAGAGCAGAUACUAAAAUUUACCCAAGUAUACAUUUGAAAUACAUGCAGUUUAUUGUAUGUCAAUUACACUUCAAUAAACUGUUUCAAAAAACAAUCUAGGACCUAAACAAACAUACCUACAAGCCAAAUAUAACCCAGGCUGCCAAGUUUCAAUUUCUGACAACAGAAUGCUUGAGAAAAAAAAAGACACUUUACAGGUUAUUAUUCCCCUCACUGUAAGUCAAACCAUAUGUCCCCAAAUGAAAGAAGAUGCAGGAAAACUGAAUCUAACCAAAGCACGCUUUUCCACUCAGUCUGACUUCUUGUCAUGUUCUUGGACUUGUUAAACAAUGAUCCCCUAUAAAGUACUCAAACCCUGCUAAAUAUAAAUAUUAAGUUUAAACUACUUCUAAAAAAUUUUUUUACUGCUUCUUGAGGAAGGAGAAGGAAGGUUCUUAUCAAUGUGCAGACAGCCCUGCUUGGUCCUCACAUGUCC